rnacentral:rRNA from 1 species
UACGUAGAAGACUAGUGUUAUUCAUCUUUAAUAGGUUUAAAGGGUACCUAGACGGUAUAAUUAGUCUUUAACAGGAAACGGUUAUACUAGAGUUAUAUAUGAGGAGGUGAGUAUUUGUGGAGUAGAGUUGAAAUUCUUUGAUACCAUGAAGACUGGUAAAGGCGAAGGCAACCUUUUAUCUAAUAACUGACGUUGAGGGACGAAGGCUCGGGUCGCGAACAGG